rnacentral:rRNA from 1 species
UGCCUUGAAGAUCGGAGUGCUUGCACUCUGUGAAACAAGAUACAGGCUAGCGGCGGACGGGUGAGUAACACGUGGGUAACCUGCCCAAGAGAUCGGGAUAACACCUGGAAACAGAUGCUAAUACCGGAUAACAACAGAUGAUGCCUAUCAACUGUUUAAAAGAUGGUUCUGCUAUCACUCUUGGAUGGACCUGCGGUGCAUUAGCUAGUUGGUAGGGUAACGGCCUACCAAGGCGAUGAUGCAUAGCCGAGUUGAGAGACUGAUCGGCCACAUUGGGGCUGAGACACGGCCCAAACUCCUACGGGAGGCAGCAGUAGGGAAUCUUCCACAAUGGACGCAAGUCUGAUGGAGCAACGCCGCGUGAGUGAAGAAGGGUUUCGGCUCGUAAAGCUCUGUUGUUGGUGAAGAAGGACAGGGGUAGUAACUGACCUUUGUUUGACGGUAAU